UUAAUUAAUACGCAGCAUAAAUGAAUUGAGUAAAAACUCAGUUUCGAUGAAUAGAUUCAAGGGGUAAAUUUUUAUGAUUAAUAACCUUGGUAUGAAAUAUUGGUCAUGGCUCACAGCGUUCUCGGUUUCCGCCCUCAUCUGGGGUGAACUGGUCUGGCUGGCCCUGCAGUAACGAAUUGAAAAACCUCGCAACGGCGGGGUUUUUUAUUAUC
rfam:Enterobacter cloacae S611 EDP2.NODE_1810, whole genome shotgun sequence.